CAGUCGUACUUGCGGGCAAUCAGCCUUCCGGGUGUGAUUAUGUGGGGCGUGAGGAGUUAAUCACCCUCAUCCUUGCAUAUUCGUGCACUUUGGGUGUACUUGCUCGUGUGGUUGGUUAACAUCAAUUUCGGACGUCCAUAAAAUGGCUGGAGGAAUGUAGCUUCGAUCUCGUAUUGAAGUGUUAUAGCCUUCGGUAGAUGUGGUGAUCGAGAUUGAGGAUUGCAACGGAUACCCUUCGGGGCUACCUGUCUGGUCUCUGAUCGUUGCUCUGGUGCCGAAAGCUUGCUUACGGUUAUCAAAGUCGAUGGUCAAUAGGUUAGAAUGGGUUAAAUUCGUUAAGGAUGUUGACGUAAUGGCUUUAAACGACCCGUCUU
rnacentral:rRNA from 1 species